rnacentral:rRNA from 1 species
GAGACUGCCGGUGAUAAACCGGAGGAAGGUGGGGACGACGUCAAGUCAUCAUGGCCCUUACGAGUAGGGCUACACACGUGCUACAAUGGCGCAUACAGAGGGCGGCCAACUUGCGAAAGUGAGCGAAUCCCAAAAAGUGCGUCGUAGUCCGGAUUGGAGUCUGCAACUCGACUCCAUGAAGUCGGAAUCGCUAGUAAUCGUGGAUCAGAAUGCCACGGUGAAUACGUUCCCGGGCCUUGUACACACCGCCCGUCACACCAUGGGAGUGGGCUGCAAAAGAAGUAGGUAGUUUAACCUUCGGGGGGACGCUUACCACUUUGUGGUUCAUGACUGGGGUGAAGUCGUAACAAGGUAGCGCUAGGGGAACCUGGCGCUGGAUCACCUCCUUA